UACAGAGGUGGCAAGCGUUGUUCGGAAUUACUGGGCGUAAAGGGCGCGUAGGCGGCCAUCUAAGUCAGACGUGAAAUCCCCCGGCUUAACCUGGGAACUGCGUCUGAUACUGGACGGCUGGAGUUUGGGAGAGGGAUGUAGAAUUCCAGGUGUAGCGGUGAAAUGCGUAGAUAUCAGGAGGAACACCUAUUGCGAAGGCAGCUCGCUGGGACGUAACUGACGCUGAGACGCGAAAGCGUGGGAGCAAACAGG
rnacentral:rRNA from 1 species